UAAUUAUUUCAGUUCUGUGGUAAAUUAUACAAUAAUCACCGGUUACGUUGUUCCAUGUCUGAAAAAGCAUCUAUUACAAAACACAAAUUUGAAUUAAAUUGCAAAAGUUCCUGAACGUUUUGAAGUGCAUUCUAUUUUUUAAAUUUAUUGCGUAUAAGACUAGAUGAAUGACUAAAAGAAAAAAACACUUAAUCAACAAUACAGUGAAAACGUUCAAAAUCAGCUUGCAUUUAUAUACAUUGCAAACACUUUCUACAACUGUAAGAAAAAUAUUUAAUAUAAAAACGACAACAGACGCAUAUUUCAAGUUCAAACAGAAAAAAUAAAAUCCAAGAAUACAAAGUUAUUUACACAAUAUCCAGAUUUGUCACUGAUAACAAGUGAUUGCCGUCAAUCCUUUGACUUUGGACAUUUGAUGGCAAUGAUAGAAUUUUCUCAUCGUCCAAGGCGACUAUUGUACUGAGUGGCUGCGACAACCUGCAAUAACUAGUUGGAAGCAAAACGCAGCUAAUGAGACGAGUACAUUGCGACAUCUAGGUGCCUGCAGAGCGUGGGAGGGGGCAGUGGGGUGAGCGAUACGAUCGGCUUGCGCAACGGCGCGCGCUCCGUAAGGUGCCAUAGCAUCCUCCGCGAAAGGUCACCAUACCACCUUAUGUAAGUAAUAACGACUACGGACUAACUAUAGAACAUUCACAAUCAAAUUGUAAUAGUUUUUUAACCAUCAAAGGUCAUGCGCGAUCUCAUAAUGGUUUCGUUAACAGCAUUAGGCUGUAAUGAUGGUGUACAACAAAUAGAUACAUUAAUUUAAUUAGCUCUUCCUCUUCCUUUGGAAUUUGUGCAUAUGCAAAGAAAACUAACUUAAAUAGUUUACUUUGUAUAUUCGGCAUUCUAAGAUCGGUAUUCAGAUUAUAAAUAUUUUUAUUAGUCGGAACUUGGCUACAUAAAAUUCUAAAAUCACAUAAUUCACGAAACUUUUUUGUCGGUUACAUAACUAGAUUGAAAGGAUCGCGUGCGAGGCCUACAUGGCAAACAUGAGUUGAAUUUGGAAAAAAUGUAGAUCCAAACAUGUGAUUGCAAAACCGACGAUCUUUUUUACUUUCUUAAACAUAUAGGCCGCAGUUGAUGCUCCGUGAAAUUAAGUGACGUAAUUACGAAUCGUUUCUAUUGCUACAAAACAAAUACCUACUUAGAAGCAAUGUCACAAUAAUUUACACAAAUAUAACUACACCGGAAACAUGUUUGUUUAUUUGUUAUUUGUGAUACUUCAGACAAUUGGUUCAGUCGGUGAUUUGAGCUAAUGUAUGCACUGACGCAACACAUUGUUGUGAUGAGUCAGUGAAGUAUGGACCGGCGGCGUCGUUAAGUUGGCGUCAAUGAAAAAUGCGUCGUCCGCACACCUGAGUGUCGCUGUUUGUAUCUACUUUCGCUCUCAUUCAUAACAAGGUGAUCUAGAUACGAAAUACUAUUUGCUACCAAUUCGGCCUAGUUCCACGCUAUUGAAGGAAGGGAUCACAUGUCAAACACAAAUGAUUAACCACAAUUCGGCCACAAUUGCCCAAGUGCGUGAGUGAGUGCGAGAACGGUCUCAGCGACCUCCUCAACCGCAGCUAGAAUAAGCGGAGUAAUGAUAUUUGCCGGUAAGUGCCCAAACACAUGAACCUUGAGGCUACCCAUCCGUUCGCCGGCCGUCACGCCGCCCUAGUUCUUACGGAGAGCGGAGCGUGGGAAAAUCACUUAUGCAAAUCCGGGGAAUCGAUUAUCGUGGCGAUGCGCGAUCUGCGGCGGCGCGGGCGCAGCGCCGAAUGGAAAGUGCAUCGGUUGCGCAAGCGACGUGCACGGCGCUGUCAUACAGGGAGCAUCUCUAAUGUGCAACCUACUGUUUGUGAAGGCGCCGCCGCUGUGUUACAAAAUAUACCGACUUUACCUAUUCUACAAAUAGAAUGGAAGUACAAUAAUUUACGAUUUUUUUAUAGUGGUGGCUUAUUGGAUUCAAAUUUACUUCUGAUGUAAACUAAAGUGCCUGAAAAAGUUCUGCAUAAAGAAUAUUUUAAUUUCAAAUUACAAUUAAAAAAAAUCCUAAUUAAUAAAACCGAUUUUCAUUUUACUAUUAUGACAAAACAGUGUUCUUUGUGAGUGUUAUAUAAGUUAUCAUGAGUUUUUUUUAAUAAAUAAGCUAGUUAUUAAAAAAUUGAAAUAAUUAACUCAAUCAACUUUAAAAACUGAAAGAAGGCUUCACAACACAACUUUAGUGACAAUUAAUUGUCUAACUGCUGGUUCCUAAUUAAUGUCAGUUUCCCACGCUCCCGGACGUCCUGCACAUUAAGAACACACAAAUUACAAUUAAUACUUUCACAGAGAUGCGCACGCGCGAUGCUCUACAGCACUAACACCAUUUCCUCACAACCCCGCAGAACACAUCAAAAUAUAUACUGCAAAAAGGCACACAAACGAUUUAGCGCAGCGUUGCUUUAAAGGUGUGUAAAGAAAAUUGCACGAAAAACAUAUUCCGGUCACUUCCGAGCACAACGGCGUGGUUUGAUGUUCACACGCGGGACUUACCCAGGACGGGGAGCAAUGUGAGCAAGAUCCACAGAGGGGACAUGUUGUCGCGAGGUGCGUCGCGAAGGGA